rnacentral:rRNA from 1 species
AUUGAACGCUGGCGGCAUGCUUUACACAUGCAAGUCGAACGGUAACAGGCCUUCGGGUGCUGACGAGUGGCGAACGGGUGAGUAAUGCAUCGGAACGUGCCCAGAGGUGGGGGAUAACGCAGCGAAAGCUGUGCUAAUACCGCAUGUGAUCUGAGGAUGAAAGCGGGGGACCAGGCAGCAAUGUUUGGCCUCGCGCCUUUGGAGCGGCCGAUGUCAGAUUAGGUAGUUGGUGGGGUAAAGGCCUACCAAGCCGACGAUCUGUAGCUGGUCUGAGAGGACGAGCAGCCACACUGGGACUGAGACACGGCCCAGACUCCUAAGGGAGGCAGCAGUGGGGAAUUUUGGACAAUGGGCGCAAGCCUGAUCCAGCAAUGCCGCGUGCGGGAAGAAGGCCUUCGGGUUGUAAACCGCUUUUGUACGGAACGAAAAGGCUCUGGCUAAUACCUGGGGCUGAUGACGGUACCGUAAGAAUAAGCACCGGCUAACUACGUG